CUAGUAAUCGCAGAUCAGCAUGCUGCGGUGAAUACGUUCCCGGGCCUUGUACACACCGCCCGUCACACCAUGGGAGUCGGUAACACCCAAAGUUGGUAGCCUAACCGCAAGGAGGGCGCCGCCUAAGGUGGGAUUGAUGACUGGGGUGAAGUCGUAACAAGGUAGC
rnacentral:rRNA from 1 species